GUGUGUAAAGAAAGCAUCCGGCUCACUCACCCACCUGCGGAAGGCAAUAGUUGAUUUCUCCUCCUGCUAGCGUUAGCCUCUGCGGGGAUCUGCAGAUACAUGGGGCCAGGUGAAGGAGAGGAAGGCAGUGAGGAGCCCAUUUUAAAAUCUUGUCUCCAGGCCCACUCCAACCUUGCUCUGGAAUUGAUGCACGUGGCUUUCGCCUUCAGGACUGGAUUGCUUUCCAGAGGGAAAUCUUGGACUGUGGAGCUGAAUAGACGCAAGUGUUCACAGCUGCAC